UUUGAUGGCGACCGGCGCACGGGUGAGUAACACGUAUCCAACCUGCCGAUGACUCGGGGAUAGCCUUUCGAAAGAAAGAUUAAUACCCGAUGGCAUAGUUCUUCCGCAUGGUAGAACUAUUAAAGAAUUUCGGUCAUCGAUGGGGAUGCGUUCCGUUAGCUUGUUGGCGGGGUAACGGCCCACCAAGGCAUCGAUGGAUAGGGGUUCUGAGAGGAAGGUCCCCCACAUUGGAACUGAGACACGGUCCAAACUCCUACGGGAGGCAGCAG
rnacentral:rRNA from 1 species